GAACUGCGAUACGUCUUGCGAAUUGCAGAAUUCAGUGAAUCAUCAAAUUUUCGAACGCACACGGCGCUUCCGGGUAUUCCUGGGAGCAUGUUCUCCUCAGUGUUACCUUGCACCAAUCUUGGCGACGCCCUUGAAUGAAACUUUUUUAUUCAAUGUCGUCAUCAGUUGUUGAGUUGUCUUCUAUUCACCUAGAAGUCACUUCAAAGUCUUGAUGGGCCCCAUUUGCUCUCUCUUCUUGAUUCUCACUCAGGAAGGGUAGAAAGAAAAGAGGGACGUUUGAUAAAAACACUCUACGUUUACUCUGCCUUUCUAUUUCUCUCGAAAGGAGCAUGACCCGUCUUAUCCAUUACAUUUGUUUGCACUUUCAACCUGAGGUGGAGCGAGAUUACCCGCCGAAUUU
rnacentral:misc_RNA from 1 species